rnacentral:rRNA from 1 species
CAAUAGCGUAUAUUAAAGUUGUUGCAGUUAAAAAGCUCGUAGUUGGAUCUGUGGUGUGCGGUGGGCUCCGGGCACUUGUUGUCUGAGUAGCUCGCCGCCGCCAUCCUUGGGUGGAACCUGUGUGGCAUUAGGUUGUCGUGCAGGGGAUGCCCAUCGUUUACUGUGAAAAAAUUAGAGUGUUCAAAGCAGGCUUAUGCCGUUGAAUAUAUUAGCAUGGAAUAAUGAGAUAGGACUUUUUCGCUAUUUUGUUGGUUUGCGCGAAGAGGUAAUGAUUAAUAGGGACAGUUGGGGGUAUUCGUAUUCCAUUGUCAGAGGCGAAAUUCUUGGAUUUUUGGAAGACGAACUACUGCGAAAGCAUUUACCAAGGAUGUUUUCAUUAA